UAUGAACCACUACACAACUCAAGUUAUUGGUGUAAUAUUAGCGUUGCUCGAUGAUUUGGAUGAAUCAGUCCAACUAACUGCUGUGUCAUGCUUAUUGAUGGUCACAGAGACAGCAUCUAAUGAUGCUGUUGAACCUAUCUUGCUGAAUUUAUCUGUUCGGCUUCGUAACCUUCAGAUUAGCAUAGACCCGAAGAUGAGAGCCAGCG